rnacentral:lncRNA from 1 species
ACUGGUUAUAGUGCUAUACAGGAAACCUGGCAGCGCCGGAGCCGCGCGGUCGAGGAGGGAGCGCGGGACGCCGAGCCCACGCGCGCCUGCCGGGACAAGUGGAGACGAGGCCGGCGAGCGGACGCCCCGAGGUGCCCGGGCAGGCAGUGGGCCGCCGAGCGGGAGUUGAGGUGGGAGGUGGGGUGGGGGUGGGGAAAGGGGCAGGGUUGGGGAGGGAAGGGUGCGGCAGGUGGCGGGUCCGCACCCGGGAGCUCCGCGCGCCUGCUCCCCUUGUCUCCGUGCUGGGGCGGGAGCUGCUCGGGCCGCAUCCCACGGGGAGGAGAAGGUUGGCGAAGGAGCUGUGGCCGGGUCCCCUUCUUAUCCAGCCCGAGACACUGCGCUCCGCUCCGAUUCCGCGAAACCUCUCCGGCACCACCUCGGAAGCCCCGCCCAGGGCGAUGGUCCGGGCCUAACCUGCCGGCCCCGCCCACCCGGCCCUUGGGCUCCCUGAGGCCCGCCCAGCAGACGUGAGUGCGCUGCGGGGUCCGGGGGGAAGGGGCGCCGGGGCAGUGUCCACCUUGGGGUUUGUUGGCUCUGGGCAGCUCGAUGACCCCGCCUCCGGGGCCCAGUGUGCUUAGUGACUCAAGUGUAUACCCUUUCCUAGUCGAGGAACGCUUGACAAAGUGGCGAAGGAGCCCUACGGGAGUCCCGGAUUGGACCCUGCUCCUUCGGUCCCUCAGCCUCGGCAAGCCGCGGUCUCCUGGCCCUUGGCCUGGGUCACCUUAGGAGGCAGGAGGAGAUGUGGUCAGUGUGGGAGCUUGGAGGGGCCAUGCACUUCCGGAGAAGACCACCGACUCAUGGCUUUGGUGGAGGGGCGCCGGCAGAUUUAGCUCCUGGAGGGAGGCGUCCAGGCGGGACAGGGCCCGGGGAGCGGCAGGAAAUGGGCUGCUCUUCCCACUUGACUGACGGGAAAACUAAGGCACGGUCAACUAUCAAGCAAGCGUGGUGUCGACCUUAGAGCAGGACUGAAGCGAGGCUGAAAUCUUAGAAUCAACCCCACGGAAUGAAGAGGUUGUCCUAAUUCCAGCACUGAGUGAAAAUGCCGCGGCCGCAAUGGCGGCGGAUGUGGAGGGGGACGUGUACGUACUGGUGGAGCACCCCUUCGAGUACACCGGCAAGGACGGGCGCCGCGUGGCCAUCCCGCCCAAUGAGCGCUACCGGCCGCUGCGGCGCAGCACAGAGCACUGAGCAUUGGUGGCACGUGCGGCGCAAGCCCGGCGGCCGCCCCUUCUACCUGCCCGCGCAGUACGUGCGCGAGCUGCCUGCGCUGGGCAACCCUGCCGCUGACGCGCCGCCAGGUCCCCCCAUCGGGACCCGCAGCCCCUGAGCCGCUCGCCUAC